AGCGGAGGCGGGUUUCUGGCUGACUGUCCCAAGCACUUAGUGCCAUCUCUCCGCCUAUUCCCCCUCCCAUAUACACACACAACACUAUUCCCUCACUCAGCACCCUGCCGCCAGCCCGCCCGCCCGCCCUCCUGACUGAAGGUUUCCUGUCCCUUCGCACGGCUGGGACUCGACUAGGACGUCUAGGCCAGUACAGACAGAAAGUCCGAGUCAGCCGCCGCUCUCGCCGGGUCCUUGGGCAAGGCCUAGGGGGAGGACGGGGCGCGGCCGGCUCUGGGGAUCAGCGGGGGCUGGGGCGCUGGGCGGUACUGAACAAACAUUGGCUUAGUUCUGCCCUGGGACUUUGGACGGCGGGCGGGGCCGCGCGAGCUUCUCCCCUUGGGCAGAGCUGGGACCCACCCGCCCUCUACCCGUAGCUGCCAGACGUGGCUCCACCCUCGCAGAACGUUGAAAAGUCAGCGGGCCGCGGGGCCGGACAAGGGGGCGGGGCGGGGGCGGGGCGUGCUCGAGCCAAUGGGCUUGGCCGGGGCCGGUGACGCCACGGCCAAUGGCCCGGCAGCGCGGGAGUUUCAAGUCGCUGUCUCCGCCCCGCCGUGGGGAAGACUGCGCCUAUAAAGACGGCCGGCUGUGGCCCGGGUCAGGUCCCCGAGUGCUCCUCGUCUGGUGUCUUCCUCCUCCGCCAUGGCCCGUACGAAGCAGACCGCCCGCAAGUCCACCGGCGGCAAGGCCCCGCGCAAGCAGCUGGCCACCAAGGCCGCCCGCAAGAGCGCCCCGGCCACGGGCGGCGUGAAGAAGCCUCACCGCUACCGGCCCGGCACCGUGGCGCUGCGCGAGAUCCGGCGCUACCAGAAGUCGACCGAGCUGCUGAUCCGCAAGCUGCCGUUCCAGCGCCUGGUGCGCGAGAUCGCGCAGGACUUCAAGACGGACCUGCGCUUCCAGAGCUCGGCCGUCAUGGCGCUGCAGGAGGCGAGCGAGGCCUACCUGGUGGGGCUCUUCGAGGACACCAACCUGUGCGCCAUCCACGCCAAGCGCGUCACCAUCAUGCCCAAGGACAUCCAGCUGGCCCGCCGCAUCCGUGGGGAGCGCGCUUGAGCGCUCUCUGUCCCUUCCAUCCCCCCACAAAGGCUCUUUUCAGAGCCACCACAGGUCUCCCGGAAAGGGCUGUUUACAUUUGCUAACGCUUCGUUGCGCCUCGGGCUACCUAGAUAACUAGGUGGCUGUUGUAUAGUAUAGCCUUGUUGCAUAGCUACAUAGUGGUUCUUUUAAAGGAAGUUUUGCACACCCUUUUUAGAGUAGGUUUAAUAUUAGUUGACGUCUUGUUCAUUCAUAUUUCUCUAGCUUUAUUUACAUGCAGCACCUCCGUCCUAAAGGGAGUAAGCUUAUAGGAGCUUAUCUCAUGGUGGUUACUAUGUAACCUCUUUAGCCCAGCUGGACCAGAGCCGGCCUUUCUAAAUAGCUGAACACUCAGGAGACGUAUCUUGCAGCUCAUAAUUACCUCACUAAACUUUGGCUGAAGGUUAUUGUUGCUCCUCGUUCUGCUAGGCAAUGUCUGGGGGCUUAACUGCUCAUAGUCGGUGGUAAGCGGAGUACUCUUGAGUGAUAUCCGGUGACACUCGUCUUUGUUCUUUGUCACUUGAAGACCUACUAGCUACUUGGAAUUCAGCAUUUAUUACUACGAUCUCGUUCUAUGGCAACUUGUUAGUUUCUCUUACUCCCAUUAAAUUUACUUCAAAAUGCCAACCCAACUGUGCCUCCCACCCAAAAAUGACAGACACCUUUCUGGACAGAAAUACACUAGAUAUCAAAGA